GGGCCCAUAGUUAAGUGGUAUAACGCGUCCAUGGCAUGGAUGAGGCCGGAGUUCAAUUCUCCGUGGGUCCA
rnacentral:tRNA from 1 species